rnacentral:tRNA from 1 species
GCGGGGGUGGCGAAAUUGGUAUACGCACCAGAUUUAGGUUCUGACGCCAAAUGGCAUACGAGUUCAAGUCUCGUCUCCCGCA